UCAAAACCCUCCUUCCGCAGGGAAGUACUGUUCAAGAAAGCCAAGAUGAAGGCUAAAAAGAAACCAAGGCGACGCUCCGACAGCUCAGGAGGCUAUACACUGUCUGAAGUUAUUCAAAGCCCCCCUGCUGCAGCAGUUUCCCCAUGCCUAGUGAAGACACGAAAAGGCACUUCAACAGAGUCACUGCAGGAGCUGCUCACAUCGGACUCGGAGGGUAGCUGCAUGGGGCUGGGUAGCCCCAGAGAAAUGCAGUCACCAGUCUCUCAUGACAGAGCUGUGGAAGAGAGGGUCUUGUGUCAGAGAAUGAAGAUCCCACCCAAUACAAGGAAUGGCCUCCCACCUCCCCCCACCUCUAGUCCAAAAGA